rnacentral:rRNA from 1 species
GUGAACGCUGGCGGUAGGCCUAACACAUGCAAGUCGCACGGCAGCACAGUAAGAGCUUGCUCUUACGGGUGGCGAGUGGCGGACGGGUGAGGAAUACAUCGGAAUCUACUUUUUCGUGGGGGAUAACGUAGGGAAACUUACGCUAAUACCGCAUACGACCUACGGGUGAAAGCAGGGGAUCUUCGGACCUUGCGCGAUUGAAUGAGCCGAUGUCGGAUUAGCUAGUUGGCGGGGUAAAGGCCCACCAAGGCGACGAUCCGUAGCUGGUCUGAGAGGAUGAUCAGCCACACUGGAACUGAGACACGGUCCAGACUCCUACGGGAGGCAGCAGUGGGGAAUAUUGGACAAAGGGCGCAAGCCUGAUCCAGCUAUACCGCGUGGGUGAAGAAGGCCUUCGGGUUGUAAAGCCCUUUUGUUGGGAAAGAAAAGCAGCAGGUUAAUACCCCGCUGUUCUGACGGUACCCAAAGAAUAAGCACCGGCUAACUUCGUG